rnacentral:rRNA from 1 species
UACGAAGGGGGCUAGCGUUGCUCGGAAUCACUGGGCGUAAAGGGUGCGUAGGCGGGUCUUUAAGUCAGGGGUGAAAUCCUGGAGCUCAACUCCAGAACUGCCUUUGAUACUGAAGAUCUUGAGUUCGGGAGAGGUGAGUGGAACUGCGAGUGUAGAGGUGAAAUUCGUAGAUAUUCGCAAGAACACCAGUGGCGAAGGCGGCUCACUGGCCCGACACUGACGCUGAGGCACGAAAGCGUGGGGAGCGAACAGG